CCUACGGGAGGCAGCAGUGGGGAAUAUUGCACAAUGGGGGAAACCCUGAUGCAGCGACGCCGCGUGAGCGAAGAAGUCUUUCUGUAUGUAAAGCUCUAUCAGCAGGGAAGAAAAUGACGGUACCUGAGUCAGAAGCUCCGGCUAAAUACGUUCCAGCAGCCGCGGUAAUACGUAUGGAGCAAGCGUUAUCCGGAUUUACUGGGCGUAAAGGGGGCGUAGGCGGCCUGCCAAGUCUGAUGUGAAAUACCGGGGCUCAACCCCGGGGCUGCAUUGGACACUGGCAGGCUGGAGUGCCGGAGAGGCAGGCGGAAUGCCUAGUGUAGCGGUGAAAUGCGUAGAUAUUAGGAGGAACACCAGUGGCGAAGGCGGCCUGCUGGACGGUGACUGACGCUGAGGCUCGAAAGCGUGGGGAGCAAACAGGAUUAGAUACCCUUGUAGUC
rnacentral:rRNA from 1 species